ensembl:snRNA U6 U6 spliceosomal RNA
GUACUUACUUUGACAGCACAUAUACUAAAAUUGGAAUGAUAAAGAGAAGGUCAGCAUGGGCCCUGUGCAAGGAUGACAUGCAAAUUCAUGAAGUAUUCCAUAUUAAA